GUUAAGCGACUAAGCGUACACGGUGGAUGCCCUGGCAGUCAGAGGCGAUGAAGGACGUGCUAAUCUGCGAUAAGCGUCGGUAAGGUGAUAUGAACCGUUAUAACCGGCGAUUUCCGAAUGGGGAAACCCAGUGUGAUUCGUCACACUAUCAUUAACUGAAUCCAUAGGUUAAUGAGGCGAACCGGGGGAACUGAAACAUCUAAGUACCCCGAGGAAAAGAAAUCAACCGAGAUUCCCCCAGUAGCGGCGAGCGAACGGGGAGGAGCCCAGAGCCUGAAUCAGUGUGUGUGUUAGUGGAAGCGUCUGGAAAGGCGUGCGAUACAGGGUGACAGCCCCGUACACAAAAAUGCACAUACUGUGAGCUCGAUGAGUAGGGCGGGACACGUGGUAUCCUGUCUGAAUAUGGGGGGACCAUCCUCCAAGGCUAAAUACUCCUGACUGACCGAUAGUGAACCAGUACCGUGAGGGAAAGGCGAAAAGAACCCCGGCGAGGGGAGUGAAAAAGAACCUGAAACCGUGUACGUACAAGCAGUGGGAGCCUCUUAAUGGGGUGACUGCGUACCUUUUGUAUAAUGGGUCAGCGACUUAUAUUCUGUAGCAAGGUUAACCGAAUAGGGGAGCCGAAGGGAAACCGAGUCUUAACUGGGCGUUAAGUUGCAGGGUAUAGACCCGAAACCCGGUGAUCUAGCCAUGGGCAGGUUGAAGGUUGGGUAACACUAACUGGAGGACCGAACCGACUAAUGUUGAAAAAUUAGCGGAUGACUUGUGGCUGGGGGUGAAAGGCCAAUCAAACCGGGAGAUAGCUGGUUCUCCCCGAAAGCUAUUUAGGUAGCGCCUCGUGAAUUCAUCUCCGGGGGUAGAGCACUGUUUCGGCAAGGGGGUCAUCCCGACUUACCAACCCGAUGCAAACUGCGAAUACCGGAGAAUGUUAUCACGGGAGACACACGGCGGGUGCUAACGUCCGUCGUGAAGAGGGAAACAACCCAGACCGCCAGCUAAGGUCCCAAAGUCAUGGUUAAGUGGGAAACGAUGUGGGAAGGCCCAGACAGCCAGGAUGUUGGCUUAGAAGCAGCCAUCAUUUAAAGAAAGCGUAAUAGCUCACUGGUCGAGUCGGCCUGCGCGGAAGAUGUAACGGGGCUAAACCAUGCACCGAAGCUGCGGCAGCGACACUAUGUGUUGUUGGGUAGGGGAGCGUUCUGUAAGCCUGUGAAGGUGUACUGUGAGGUAUGCUGGAGGUAUCAGAAGUGCGAAUGCUGACAUAAGUAACGAUAAAGCGGGUGAAAAGCCCGCUCGCCGGAAGACCAAGGGUUCCUGUCCAACGUUAAUCGGGGCAGGGUGAGUCGACCCCUAAGGCGAGGCCGAAAGGCGUAGUCGAUGGGAAACAGGUUAAUAUUCCUGUACUUGGUGUUACUGCGAAGGGGGGACGGAGAAGGCUAUGUUGGCCGGGCGACGGUUGUCCCGGUUUAAGCGUGUAGGCUGGUUUUCCAGGCAAAUCCGGAAAAUCAAGGCUGAGGCGUGAUGACGAGGCACUACGGUGCUGAAGCAACAAAUGCCCUGCUUCCAGGAAAAGCCUCUAAGCAUCAGGUAACAUCAAAUCGUACCCCAAACCGACACAGGUGGUCAGGUAGAGAAUACCAAGGCGCUUGAGAGAACUCGGGUGAAGGAACUAGGCAAAAUGGUGCCGUAACUUCGGGAGAAGGCACGCUGAUAUGUAGGUGAAGUCCCUCGCGGAUGGAGCUGAAAUCAGUCGAAGAUACCAGCUGGCUGCAACUGUUUAUUAAAAACACAGCACUGUGCAAACACGAAAGUGGACGUAUACGGUGUGACGCCUGCCCGGUGCCGGAAGGUUAAUUGAUGGGGUUAGCGGUAACGCGAAGCUCUUGAUCGAAGCCCCGGUAAACGGCGGCCGUAACUAUAACGGUCCUAAGGUAGCGAAAUUCCUUGUCGGGUAAGUUCCGACCUGCACGAAUGGCGUAAUGAUGGCCAGGCUGUCUCCACCCGAGACUCAGUGAAAUUGAACUCGCUGUGAAGAUGCAGUGUACCCGCGGCAAGACGGAAAGACCCCGUGAACCUUUACUAUAGCUUGACACUGAACAUUGAGCCUUGAUGUGUAGGAUAGGUGGGAGGCUUUGAAGUGUGGACGCCAGUCUGCAUGGAGCCGGCCUUGAAAUACCACCCUUUAAUGUUUGAUGUUCUAACGUUGGCCCCUGACCGGGGUUGCGGACAGUGUCUGGUGGGUAGUUUGACUGGGGCGGUCUCCUCCUAAAGAGUAACGGAGGAGCACGAAGGUUGGCUAAUCCUGGUCGGACAUCAGGAGGUUAGUGCAAUGGCAUAAGCCAGCUUGACUGCGAGCGUGACGGCGCGAGCAGGUGCGAAAGCAGGUCAUAGUGAUCCGGUGGUUCUGAAUGGAAGGGCCAUCGCUCAACGGAUAAAAGGUACUCCGGGGAUAACAGGCUGAUACCGCCCAAGAGUUCAUAUCGACGGCGGUGUUUGGCACCUCGAUGUCGGCUCAUCACAUCCUGGGGCUGAAGUAGGUCCCAAGGGUAUGGCUGUUCGCCAUUUAAAGUGGUACGCGAGCUGGGUUUAGAACGUCGUGAGACAGUUCGGUCCCUAUCUGCCGUGGGCGCUGGAGAACUGAGGGGGGCUGCUCCUAGUACGAGAGGACCGGAGUGGACGCAUCACUGGUGUUCGGGUUGUCAUGCCAAUGGCACUGCCCGGUAGCUAAAUGCGGAAGAGAUAAGUGCUGAAAGCAUCUAAGCACGAAACUUGCCCCGAGAUGAGUUCUCCCUGACUCCUUGAGAGUCCUGAAGGAACGUUGAAGACGACGACGUUGAUAGGCCGGGUGUGUAAGCGCAGCGAUGCGUUGAGCUAACCGGUACUAAUGAACCGUGAGG
rnacentral:rRNA from 1 species